GGGCACUUGGUCUAGGGGUAUGAUUGUAAGCAUUGUCUACUACCCACUCAACAUUAUAAAUUUCUAACAGUCUUUAGUUCGCUUCGCACAACUUAAAUGUGAGCAUGUGAAAGGUCGUGGGUUCAAUUCCCACAGUGUCCA